AUCUGCAGGUGAUCUUCAGUAUACAUGUAGGUGGUCAACACUUGGAUCAUAAUUUGAUUCGGGCCAUAAACAGUUGGGUCAAUUGUUUAUCUACAGGUGAUCCAGAGUUUGUUGUUAUAGACGAUGUUACUUCAGAUGUGCUUACAACAUUCAUUAAGAAAGAAAAAAAGGUUUCUGAGUCUUGCGGGAGAAGCGUCCGAUCAGGACCCCUUCAGACGUUUGUUUCAUUUGUUGAUGAAAAAGAAGAGACAAUAACAUCCCGUUCAAAGAGAAAAUAUUCAGAAGGAAGCUCUUACAGGACAAAUGUAGAUAAUGCAUCAAUUCAGAGCUACAAAUGCAACAAUCGAGGUUGUAACCUAUGGUGAAUUUAACCGGUUCUGGAAAUGGAAUCGUUAAUUACUCCGGCGAUGGUAUGCCUUUUCUAUCUCUUGAAAAAGAGGCCACGAGUUUCUUUUGCAUACCAGUUCAUAAAGGUUGUACACUUUGUUGAUGAAUUGGGAUGUUGACCGAAAGCUAU